rnacentral:rRNA from 1 species
GUGAGGAAUUUUCCGCAAUGGGCGAAAGCCUGACGGAGCAAUGCCGCGUGAAGGAUGAAGGCCUAUGGGUUGUAAACUUCUUUUCUCAGAAAAGAAUUAUGACGGUAUCUGAGGAAUAAGCAUCGGCUAACUCUGUGCCAGCAGCCGCGGUAAGACAGAGGAUGCAAGCGUUAUCCGGAAUGAUUGGGCGUAAAGCGUCUGUAGGUUGUUUAAAAAGUAUUCUGUCAAAGAUUAGGGCUUAACCCUAGAUAGGCAGAAUAAACUUUUAAGCUAGAGUUUGGUAGAGGCAGAGGGAAUUCCCGGUGGAGCGGUGAAAUGCGUAGAUAUCGGGAGGAACACCAAAGGCGAAGGCACUCUGCUGGGCCAAUACUACACUGAGAGACGAAAGCGAGGGGAGCAAAUGGGAUUAGAAACCCUUGUAGUCC